rnacentral:rRNA from 1 species
AACGAACGCUGGCGGCAUGCCUAACACAUGCAAGUCGAACGAGACCUUCGUGUCUAGUGGCGCACGGGUGCGUAACGCGUGGGAACCUGCCCGUAUGCUCGGAAUAACUCCUCGAAAGGGGUGCUAAUACCGGAUAAUGUCUGCUGACCAAAGAUUUAUCGUCCUUGUAUGGGCCGGCGUUGUAUUAGCUAGUUGGUAGGGUAAAAGCCUACCAAGGCGACGAUCCAUAGCUGGUCUGAGAGGAUGAUCAGCCACACUGAGACUGAGACACGGCCCAGAAUCUUACGCGAGGGAGCAGUGGGGAAUAUUGGACAAUGGGCGAAAUCAUGAACCAGCAAUGCCGGGUGAGUGAUGAAGGCGUUAGAGUUGUAAAGCUCUUUUACCCGGGAUGAUAAUGACGGUACCGGGAGAAUAAGCACCGGCUAACUCCGUG